rnacentral:rRNA from 2 species
CCGGUAGCUAAAUGCGGAAGAGAUAAGUGCUGAAAGCAUCUAAGCACGAAACUUGCCCCGAGAUGAGUUCUCCCUGACCCUUUAAGGGUCCUGAAGGAACGUUGAAGACGACGACGUUGAUAGGCCGGGUGUGUAAGCGCAGCGAUGCGUUGAGCUAACCGGUACUAAUGAACCGUGAGGCUUAACCUUACAACGCCGAAGCUGUU